rnacentral:lncRNA from 1 species
GUUUUGAACCAAGCCCUGUGAAGGAGAGAACACAAAAAUCCCCAGUUUAGCAGCCUUAGCCUUUAUGAGAGACGCUCUGCUCUUUCACGAGAACAAACCUGUGCUUCUUCAUGCAAAGAGCGAGUGAGGAAGGUGAAAAGCAUUCCUGUUAAAUAUUCUACCCGAAUGUUUGAAACUGACAGCCACACAGAGGAAAAAACCCCACACGCCAUGUGAGGCUGUGUGAGGCUCACUGCAAAGAACGGCUUCUGUGCGAGGCAGGGGGAGAAAAGGUCACUCACAACACCCACUGCCAGUUGUAUUUUUAAACCUUUAUUAUGUCCAUUCUCAGCAGCCCAAUCCAUGACGGAGGUUCCGGUGUGUGCAGGCGGCCAGGUCUCGGCAGAAAGCGGUUCGGGUAUCUGAAGUGCUGCUGCAACCUAGAAAGCCCCACAGUGGGGACGGGAAGGGGUUAGCAGAGGAAAGGCUGCGAAGCGUCGGCUCCACGUGUGCUCCUUCGCAAACGUCAGAGCCAUAUAGGUCAGGCAGGAGCCAUUUCCUCGCUGUGCCCGCUCCAUGGAGAAGCGGGGGACUGCAUUCUGUGUGAGUGUCAGCCGCGCUGCCUCCCAGCCCCAUUAAAUUAGAUAAGCCCUUCCGAAAACCGUGCAGAAAGCAAUUGCCCUUUCCUCCCCCAGCGGCGGCUUUCCUCACGCUGCCCCUGGGUGCAUCACUCCCACACCCCGGGCUCUCCUCCCGCACCGGAGUGUCAGUAAUGGGGGGCUGCCCCCCGGGGUCACCCCGAUGCCGUGCCGAGGGGCCCGCAGCCGGAGAAGGGAGCGGAGGAGAGCCACAAGGGGGCAUGGUCUGUUCUAAUUCAUAAAAUGCGGAUUCAUUGACAAAAACGUGGAACAAUCGGUGAAUGGUGUGUGUGCAUAAGUUAAUGCUGCUGGGGAAGGCACUUCGGUGACGGUGGAGCUGGGCGGUGGGGCUCACUCUCGGGGACACUGAGAGGUACGGCGGGGCAAUGCUGUCCUAAAAUGCACCCGUGGCUGCCCCUCCAGCUUUCUUGCUUAUGUGGGGAGCGCUGGUGGGGGGAAGGCAGAGAGGCGAAUUCUGACUCUGGACUCUGCUGAAAAUAAGGACAGCAGCAACGCCAGAGCUGGGGGUGCUACAGCCGUAGUCACAGGCUCCAGCCUGAGCCAGCUCUGCUGAUGCCUGGGGGUUCUUUUAAGGUUUUGUAGCUAAUGUGCUCAGCUGCCAAACAUUUUUAAUUCCUCUGCUAGACAAGAUGGGAAUGGAGCCUGAUGGCUAAGAAGAAUAUUUGCA